CUACGGGAGGCAGCAGUGGGGAAUUUUGGACAAUGGGGGAAACCCUGAUCCAGCCAUUCCGCGUGAGUGAAGAAGGCCUUCGGGUUGUAAAGCUCUUUCGGCAGGAACGAAACGGUGGCCCCUAAUACGGGUUACUAAUGACGGUACCUGAAGAAGAAGCACCGGCUAACUACGUGCCAGCAGCCGCGGUAAUACGUAGGGUGCGAGCGUUAAUCGGAAUUACUGGGCGUAAAGCGUGCGCAGGCGGUUAUGUAAGACAGGUGUGAAAUCCCCGGGCUUAACCUGGGAACUGCGCUUGUGACUGCAUAACUCGAGUGUGGCAGAGGGGGGUGGAAUUCCACGUGUAGCAGUGAAAUGCGUAGAGAUGUGGAGGAACACCGAUGGCGAAGGCAGCCCCCUGGGUCAACACUGACGCUCAUGCACGAAAGCGUGGGUAGCAAACAGGAUUAGAUACCCCUGUAGUCU
rnacentral:rRNA from 1 species